GGUACCAUGGCCGAGUGGUUAGGUAACGGUCUGCAAAACCGUCUACAGCGGUUCGAUUCCGCUUGGUACCUCCA
rnacentral:tRNA from 1 species